AUUGAACGCUGGCGGCAUGCCUUACACAUGCAAGUCGAACGGCAGCACGGGGGCAACCCUGGUGGCGAGUGGCGAACGGGUGAGUAACAUAUCGGAACGUGCCCUGGAGUGGGGGAGUAACUAGUCGAAAGACUAGCUAAUACCGCAUACGAUCUACGGAUGAAAGUGGGGGAUCGCAAGACCUCAUGCUCGUGGAGCGGCCGAUAUCUGAUUAGCAGUUGGUGGGGUAGAGGCCUACCAAGGCAUCGAUCAGUAGCUGGUCUGAGAGGACGACCAGCCACACUGGGCUGAGACACGGCCCAGACUCCUACGGGAGGCAGCAGUGGGAAGUUUUUGGACAAUGGGCGCAAGCCUGAUCCAGCAAUGCCGCGUGAGUGAAGAAGGCC
rnacentral:rRNA from 1 species